UACGGAGGGUGCGAACGUUAAUCGGAAUCACUGGGCGCAAAGCGCGCGUAGGCGGUUUGCUAAGUGGGAUGUGAAAUCCCCGGGCUUAACCUGGGAAUUGCAUUUCAAACUGGCCGACUAGAGUACGGUAGAGGGAGGUAGAAUUUCCUGUGUAGCGGUGAAAUGCGUAGAUAUAGGAAGGAAUACCAGUGGCGAAGGCGGCCUCCUGGAUCGAUACUGACGCUGAGGCGCGAAAGCGUGGGGAGCAAACAGG
rnacentral:rRNA from 1 species